rnacentral:tRNA from 1 species
GCGGAUGUGGUGUAACGGCUAGCAUGGGAGCCUGUGGAGCUCCAGGAGCGGGUUCGACUCCCGCCAUUCGCC